GCCCUCGUGGUGUAACUGGAUAGCACGUCCGGUUCUCAUUCGGGAGGUCCGGUGUUCGAAUCUCGGUGAGGGCA